UAGAUAGUCUCAACCGAGCAGUGAUGGAAAGAUGGAUCUGGGGACGACAGAGCUCACAGGCAGAGGACAAAAUAAGCAGCCAAGUAACAGCCGUUCAGCACAACGCGUUUUAGGCAAGGAUCCCCACUCCCACACCCCCAGCACACAGUGAUGGAUCUGGGAAAGCAGGAAGGGCCCAGAGUGGCUGCAGAGACUGCAGGCUGUGCAGUGGAGGGGAGAGGGGAGACUUGCAGGGUCUGCCAAGCUGAAUGCGGGCAGGGAAGGAGGAGGCCUGGUGGCUGGCUGAGAAGCUCCACGUGCUGAACAGAGAAUACGGGCACACCAUAGGCUUACGGCCCCGGCAACAGAGAUACAGAAGCAAGCAUGGGCAGAGUGUGCUGUGCAGAAGCAAGAGGCUCAGCAGAAGCGCUAAGAACAAGUUAAACAUAACUACCCUCAAAAACCGGACCCAAGUGCCACUUCUUUCUCGGAAGCUCCUCUGACCAUGCCCAUCUGAGCAAUCUCUUGGCCACACCCCGACUGCAGGACUUCUGUCACCCAGCUUUGCACUGGUGCACAUCUUGGAACCUGUAUCUGCUACUUAGCCUGUGAGGCUCUGGAAUAAAGAGAUGCAUAAAGAAGGUCCCUAUCAUUACCAGGUUUCCUGUAGCCAUAACACCUCAGUGUGUGCUAUGCACCUUACAGUGAGAAGGGAGCUAGCUGGACGCUCUGCAGAAGAGGCUCUAUCUAAUGGGCACCGUGGAGGACGUUAAUCAGGGAAAGAAGGGAGGGAAGGAGAACAUGUGAGUGAGAGCAUGGAGAUAUUCAUUCUCUCUCUCUCUCUCUCUCUCUCUCUCUCUCUCUCUCUCUCUCUCUCCCCUCUCCCUCCCUCUCUCUCUCUCUCUGGAGGACAGAAAGCUAGAGAAGGAAGGGCGUUUAAGACUGAAUAACAUGCAACCUGUGUGUAUCCAGGCCUUAUAUAUAAAGCAAAGCGUACGUGGGGUCCCUGGCAUUCUGCUUGAGCUUCAACUUUCCACUUUGCGAUUUAUCUCUGUAUGGAGCUCACGGUGCAUACAGUACCGUGUACCUGGGGCUUUCAAUACGGCUGUUCCGAUUUGAGAUAUGGCAAUCCUAAGACAUGCUAGAUGUAAAGGAAGCUAAAAUAUUGUAUUAGUCAUUGUAAGGGUCUAGAGCAAAGACUCAGUGGUUAAGAGCACUUGUUGCCCUUUCAGAGGACUGGGUUUGGUUCCUAGUAUUUACAUGGCCGCUUAGAACACCUCAACUCCAGUUGCAGGGGACCCAUUGCCCUCUUCUGGCCUCUCUGCAGGAACCAGGACAUGUGGUGCACAUAAGUAUGCAUACAGCCAUGUAAAUAAAGAAAUCUU
rnacentral:lncRNA from 1 species